rnacentral:rRNA from 1 species
UACAGAGGGUGCAAGCGUUGUUCGGAAUUACUGGGCGUAAAGGGCGCGCAGGCGGCCCUUGAAGUCAGGCGUGAAAGCCCCCGGGCUCAACCUGGGAGGUGCGCUUGAUACUCGAGGGCUUGAGUGCGGGAGAGGUGAGUGGAACUGCGAGUGUAGAGGUGAAAUUCGUAGAUAUUCGCAAGAACACCAGUGGCGAAGGCGGCUCACUGGCCCGGUACUGACGCUGAGGUGCGAAAGCGUGGGGAGCAAACAGG